GUUCCGAUCUAGUGUAGUGGUUAUCACAUCUGCCUAACACGCAGAAGGUCCCAGGUUCGCGACCUGGUCAGAACA